UACGUAGGUGGCAAGCGUUGUCCGGAUUUACUGGGCGUAAAGCGCACGCAGGCGGUCUGUCAAGUCGGAUGUGAAAUCCCCGGGCUCAACCUGGGAACUGCAUCCGAAACUGGCAGGCUAGAGUCUUGUAGAGGGGGGUAGAAUUCCAGGUGUAGCGGUGAAAUGCGUAGAGAUCUGGAGGAAUACCGGUGGCGAAGGCGGCCCCCUGGACAAAGACUGACGCUCAGGUGCGAAAGCGUGGGGAGCAAACAGGAUUAGAUACCCUGGUAGUCCACGCCGUAAACGAUGUCGACUUGGAGGUUGUGCCCUUGAGGCGUGGCUUCCGGAGCUAACGCGUUAAGUCGACCGCCUGGGGAGUACGGCCGCAAGGUUAAA
rnacentral:rRNA from 1 species